ensembl:snRNA U6 U6 spliceosomal RNA
GCAUUUUCACAUUUGCAGCACGUAAACUACAAUUGUAAUGAUUCAGGGAAGAUUAACAUGACCCCUGUGAAAGGAUGACAUGUAAAUUCUUGAAGUGUUUCAUAUUUCU